AACGAACGCUGGCGGCAUGCCUAACACAUGCAAGUCGAACGCCCUGGUUCGCCAGGGAGUGGCGCACGGGUGAGUAACGCGUGGGAACCUGCCCGGCAGUACGGGACAACCGCGGGAAACUGCGGCUGAUACCGUAUACGGCCUGAGGGCGAAAGAAUUUCGCUGUCGGAGGGGCCCGCGUCGGAUUAGGUAGUUGGUGGGGUAACGGCCUACCAAGCCUGCGAGCCGUAGCUGGUCUGAGAGGAUGAUCAGCCACACUGGGACUCAGACACGGCCCAGACUCCGACGGGAGGCAGCAGUGGGUAAUAUUGGACAAUGGGCGCAAGCCUGAUCCAGCAAUGCCGCGUGAGUGAUGAAGGCCUUAGGGUUGUAAAGCUCUUUCGCCCGCGACGAUGAUGACGGUAGCGGGAGAAGAAGCCCCGGCUAACUCCGUGCCAGCCGCCGCCGUAACAC
rnacentral:rRNA from 1 species